AUUAUGUAGGAGAGGGGAGACCAGGGAGAGCGAGGUCACACAUUAUGUAGGAGAGGGGAGAGAGAGGUCACACAUUAUGUAGGAGAGGGGAGAGAGAGGUCACACAUUAUGUAGGAGAGGCUGGAGCAGAGGGGAGAGGUCACAUUAUGUAGGAGAGGUGAGAGAGGUCACACAUUAUGUAGGAGAGGGGAGAGAGAGGUCACACGUUAUGUAGGAGAGGGGAGAGAGGUCACACAUUAUGUAGGAGAGGGGAGAGAGAGGUCACACAUUAUGUAGGAGAGGGGAGAGAGAGGUCACACAUUAUGUAGGAGAGGGGAGAGAGAGAUCACACAUUAUGUAGGAGAGGGGAGAGAGAGGUCACACAUUAUGUAGGAGAGGGGAGAGAGGUCACACAUUAUGUAGGAGAGGGGAGAGAGAGGUCACACAUUAUGUAGGAGAGGGGAGAGAGAGGUCACACAUUAUGUAGGAGAGGGGAGAGAGAGGUCACCCAUUAUGUAGGAGAGGGGAGAGAGAGGUCACAUUAUGUAGGAGAGG